rnacentral:rRNA from 1 species
CCUUUUGUAUAAUGGGUCAGCGACUUAUAUUCUGUAGCAAGGUUAACCGAAUAGGGGAGCCGAAGGGAAACCGAGUCUUAACUGGGCGUUAAGUUGCAGGGUAUAGACCCGAAACCCGGUGAUCUAGCCAUGGGCAGGUUGAAGGUUGGGUAACACUAACUGGAGGACCGAACCGACUAAUGUUGAAAAAUUAGCGGAUGACUUGUGGCUGGGGGUGAAAGGCCAAUCAAACCGGGAGAUAGCUGGUUCUCCCCGAAAGCUAUUUAGGUAGCGCCUCGUGAACUCAUCUCCGGGGGUAGAGCACUGUUUCGGCAAGGGGGUCAUCCCGACUUACCAACCCGAUGCAAACUGCGAAUACCGGAGAAUGUUAUCACGGGAGACACACGGCGGGUGCUAACGUCCGUCGUGAAGAGGGAAACAACCCAGACCGCCAGCUAAGGUCCCAAAGUCAUGGUUAAGUGGGAAACGAUGUGGGAAGGCCCAGACAGCCAGGAUGUUGGCUUAGAAGCAGCCAUCAUUUAAAGAAAGCGUAAUAGCUCACUGGUCGAGUCGGCCUGCGCGGAAGAUGUAACGGGGCUAAACCAUGCACCGAAGCUGCGGCAGCGACGCUUAUGCGUUGUUGGGUAGGGGAGCGUUCUGUAAGCCUGUGAAGGUGUGCUGUGAGGCAUGCUGGAGGUAUCAGAAGUGCGAAUGCUGACAUAAGUAACGAUAAAGCGGGUGAAAAGCCCGCUCGCCGGAAGACCAAGGGUUCCUGUCCAACGUUAAUCGGGGCAGGGUGAGUCGACCCCUAAGGCGAGGCCGAAAGGCGUAGUCGAUGGGAAACAGGUUAAUAUUCCUGUACUUGGUGUUACUGCGAAGGGGGGACGGAGAAGGCUAUGUUGGCCGGGCGACGGUUGUCCCGGUUUAAGCGUGUAGGCUGGUUUUCCAGGCAAAUCCGGAAAAUCAAGGCUGAGGCGUGAUGACGAGGCACUACGGUGCUGAAGCAACAAAUGCCCUGCUUCCAGGAAAAGCCUCUAAGCAUCAGGUAACAUCAAAUCGUACCCCAAACCGACACAGGUGGUCAGGUAGAGAAUACCAAGGCGCUUGAGAGAACUCGGGUGAAGGAACUAGGCAAAAUGGUGCCGUAACUUCGGGAGAAGGCACGCUGAUAUGUAGGUGAAGCGACUUGCUCGUGGAGCUGAAAUCAGUCGAAGAUACCAGCUGGCUGCAACUGUUUAUUAAAAACACAGCACUGUGCAAACACGAAAGUGGACGUAUACGGUGUGACGCCUGCCCGGUGCCGGAAGGUUAAUUGAUGGGGUCAGCGCAAGCGAAGCUCUUGAUCGAAGCCCCGGUAAACGGCGGCCGUAACUAUAACGGUCCUAAGGUAGCGAAAUUCCUUGUCGGGUAAGUUCCGACCUGCACGAAUGGCGUAAUGAUGGCCAGGCUGUCUCCACCCGAGACUCAGUGAAAUUGAACUCGCUGUGAAGAUGCAGUGUACCCGCGGCAAGACGGAAAGACCCCGUGAACCUUUACUAUAGCUUGACACUGAACAUUGAGCCUUGAUGUGUAGGAUAGGUGGGAGGCUUUGAAGUGUGGACGCCAGUCUGCAUGGAGCCGACCUUGAAAUACCACCCUUUAAUGUUUGAUGUUCUAACGUUGACCCGUAAUCCGGGUUGCGGACAGUGUCUGGUGGGUAGUUUGACUGGGGCGGUCUCCUCCUAAAGAGUAACGGAGGAGCACGAAGGUUGGCUAAUCCUGGUCGGACAUCAGGAGGUUAGUGCAAUGGCAUAAGCCAGCUUGACUGCGAGCGUGACGGCGCGAGCAGGUGCGAAAGCAGGUCAUAGUGAUCCGGUGGUUCUGAAUGGAAGGGCCAUCGCUCAACGGAUAAAAGGUACUCCGGGGAUAACAGGCUGAUACCGCCCAAGAGUUCAUAUCGACGGCGGUGUUUGGCACCUCGAUGUCGGCUCAUCACAUCCUGGGGCUGAAGUAGGUCCCAAGGGUAUGGCUGUUCGCCAUUUAAAGUGGUACGCGAGCUGGGUUUAGAACGUCGUGAGACAGUUCGGUCCCUAUCUGCCGUGGGCGCUGGAGAACUGAGGGGGGCUGCUCCUAGUACGAGAGGACCGGAGUGGACGCAUCACUGGUGUUCGGGUUGUCAUGCCAAUGGCACUGCCCGGUAGCUAAAUGCGGAAGAGAUAAGUGCUGAAAGCAUCUAAGCACGAAACUUGCC